rnacentral:rRNA from 1 species
GUGCUAAGGUAGCAUAAUCAUUUGCUACUUAAUUGGUAGCUGGAAUGAAAGGUUAAACUAGCUUACUCAGUUUGUUGUGUUUUGUAAGAAAUUAAAGUCGAGGUAAGAAUUCUUUGAUCUGCUAGGGGACGAUAAGACCCUAGAAGCUUAACAAUAAGAGUAUUUAUUAGUUAUAAAAAUUAAUUUGUUUUACUGGGGCGGUAAAGGUAUAUAAACUAUUAGUGUAUUGAUAGAUCCUUAAAAUAAAGAUAAAACGGGAAAGUUACUCUAGGGGUAACAGUGCAAUAUUUUUGGAGAGAUCAUAUCGAUAAAAAUGUUUGCAACCUCGAUGUUGAAUUAAGAUGUCUACGUGAAGCAGCAGGUACGUGAGAAAGUUUGUUCAACCUUUAAAUUUUUACAUGAUCUGAGUUCAAACCG